AUCUAUGGCCAUACCACCCUGAACAAGCCCCAUCCUAUCUGAUCUCGGAAGCUAAGCAUGAUCGGGCCUGGUUAGUACUUGAAUGGGAGACCACUUAGGAUGACCCGGGUGCUGUAGGCA
rnacentral:rRNA from 1 species